UGGCUCAGAUUGAACGCUGGCGGCAGGCCUAACACAUGCAAGUCGAGCGGUAGCACAAGAGAGCUUGCUCUCUGGGUGACGAGCGGCGGACGGGUGAGUAAUGUCUGGGAAACUGCCUGAUGGAGGGGGAUAACUACUGGAAACGGUAGCUAAUACCGCAUGACGUCUUCGGACCAAAGUGGGGGACCUUCGGGCCUCACGCCAUCAGAUGUGCCCAGAUGGGAUUAGCUAGUAGGUGGGGUAAUGGCUCACCUAGGCGACGAUCUCUAGCUGGUCUGAGAGGAUGACCAGCCACACUGGAACUGAGACACGGUCCAGACUCCUACGGGAGGCAGCAGUGGGGAAUAUUGCACAAUGGGCGCAAGCCUGAUGCAGCCAUGCCGCGUGUAUGAAGAAGGCCUUCGGGUUGUAAAGUACUUUCAGCGAGGAGGAAGGCAUUAAGGUUAAUAACCUUGGUGAUUGACGUUACUCGCAGAAGAAGCACCGGCUAACUCCGUGCCAGCAGCCGCGGU
rnacentral:rRNA from 1 species